rnacentral:rRNA from 1 species
UUUCGCAAUGCCCGAAAGGGUGACGAAGCGACGCCGCGUGCGGGAAGAAGGCCUUCGGGUUGUAAACCGCUGUCGGGAGUUAAGAAAUGUAAGGAUGUUAAUAGCAUCUUUGCUUGACUAAGGCUCCGGAGGAAGCCACGGCUAACUCUGUGCCAGCAGCCGCGGUAAUACAGAGGCGGCAAGCGUUGUUCGGAAUUAUUGGGCGUAAAGAGCACGUAGGCGGCCGUGUAAGUCGGUUGUGAAAGCCUUCCGCUCAACGGGAGAACGGCAUCCGAUACUGCAUGGCUCGAGUGCGGGAGGGGAGAGUGGAACUUCUGGUGGAGCGGUGAAAUGCGUAGAUAUCAGAAGGAACGCCGGCGGCGAAAGCGGCUCUCUGGCCCAUAACUGACGCUGAGUGUGCGAAAGCUAGGGGAGCAAACGGGAUUAGAUACCCCGGUAGUCCUAGCCGUAAACGAUGGGCACUAAGUAGAGGGGUUUU